AAUAGUAAACCUUUGGGACCUGUUUGGUAUAGCAGUUUCCCUUCCUGGCCAUGGAAAAGAAUAUUCUUACUUAUUGGUAAGGCUGUCACUUAGGCACUCUGAAUAUGUGUUAUGGUUAGUCUUC